rnacentral:rRNA from 1 species
AAAACAUCGCCUCCUGCAACACAACCAAGUAUAGGAGGUCCAGCCUGCCCAGUGACUACAAGUUCAACGGCCGCGGUAUUUUGACCGUGCAAAGGUAGCGCAAUCACUUGUCUCUUAAAUGGAGACCUGUAUGAAUGGCUAAACGAGGGCUUAACUGUCUCCCCCCUCCAGUCAGUGAAAUUGAUCUAUCCGUGCAGAAGCGGGUAUAAUAAUACAAGACGAGAAGACCCUUUGGAGCUUAAGGUACAAGAAUCAGCCACGUCAAGCAACUUAAUAAAGAGCAAAAACUUUGUGGAUAAUGAUUUUUUACCUUCGGUUGGGGCGACCACGGAGGAAAAAAAAGCCUCCAGGUGGACUGGGAAAACAUCCUAAAGCUAAGAGAGACAUCUCUAGGCCGCAGAACAUCUGACCAAUCAUGAUCCGGCUGACAAAGCCGAUCAACGAACCAAGUUACCCUAGGGAUAACAGCGCAAUCCUCUCCCAGAGUCCAUAUCGACGAGGGGGUUUACGACCUCGAUGUUGGAUCAGGACAUCCUAAUGGUGCAGCCGCUAUUAAGGGUUCGUUUGUUCAACGAUUAAAGUCCUACGUGA